AAAAAAUCUCAGCCAUAAUUAUCUGUCAUAUUCUUGUUCUUUGUUAAUUUACUCUUUGGAAAAUCCCCGUUUGGGGCAUGUUUCAUUUUCUUGUCUGGGGCCAGGAUGUGAACAGGAUGUGCUGCUGUAUCAUUUCUGCAAUGCUGAUGUCACUGCUGGCCAAGCUGCACUGCAGAUACUCUCUGGAAAUAGCAGUUGUUCAUUGAAAUCUGUUUGCUGCCACCAAGAGGUACCUACCCAGGUAAUAAAGCCUUUCUCUUGAAGUGGUGACAGUCCAAUCCUUAAAAGGCUUUGUUGGCCCCCGGCAGAGGUGGACAGCCUCAAUGAUAAAUAACUUUGCAAGAUGAGUGAGAGGGACUGGGUGUGUAUAGCAACUGCCACAUCUCCACAGCAGCUGAGAGCCUCAGGUAACCAUGGCGGGGACAAUUAGGAGAGUGUGAAGUAUCCCCAUCAACUCACUUAAUAUCACCAUAGCAGAUUAGCAGAAGUAGCUGUGCCUGGUCCUUUCUAAUUCUGCAGAUUUCUUUUACCCAUUGUGAUGGGACCUCUCUUUAUCCAUGUACAUUAACCCCCACAGAUUGGCUUGACCAUCUCUGCAUUUAAUAUUCAAAAAUAUUUAUUAUCUUCUAUCCUAUUUAGGGUAUAAACGCUUAGCCAUGCAGAGUUUACAGAUUACGGAGACAAAUAGUAAUCAAGAGUCACAGGAACAAAUGUAAAACUGCUAUUAUGGCAGUCGCUACAAAGAGGAGAUAUAUAUAUUUAUAUGUAUGACAUAAGAUAUGAUAUUGAGAUUCCACCUUGUCAGCAGAAGAGAGGUCUUGGUGGGGUAUGUAAAUCUGUAUACAUGUGUUAAUCAAUAUCUGCAAUGGAUGACACUCUAAGUAAAGGGUAUAGAGUGAGGAAAGGAAAGGACCUAGAAACAUUGCUUAGCCAGAGGAGGAUAAACAGACAAAGAAAGAAUAGCCAGAAAGUUGGAGGGAAACCAGAAGAGAGCUGUGCCCUAGCAGCCAAGCAAGGAGAGUCCAGUUAGAUCAAGAGUUAAGACUAAGAAGAGCAUACAAUGGAACACUGUGUCUCUAGAGAUCAACAGGAUGUCUAUAUUGCAGACCCAGUGAUGUGGUAGGGCACACCUGGAUUCAAAUGUGGCUGCUCCCUUAUUAGGUCUGUGGCUUUUAGUAAAAGGCUGUCUAGCUUCAGAUUCUGCAUCUGUAAAAUAGGGAUAAUAUCUCCCUGAUAGAGUUAUUGUAGGGUUGAGAUGAAUUAGCAUACGCAAUGUGCCUAGCACUUUCCAGAUCCUCAAUAAAGACUGAUUCUUCUCUCCCAAUACAACUCUGGCUAUUUAUUAAUUUGUUUUGCUUGUCACUCUCCUUGAUUUCUUAGCAUUGGUGUUGGUGACCUACCUGUUAGGAUCAUCACAGGUCCUGUCCCACAUCACUCUGGGUGUCAGCAAGUUGUGAGUGACAAAUCAAUGAUCUGGACACUAUAGAUAGUUAGGUGCCCACCUGUAUCUCUUGAUACGCAGAGAGACACAGCACUAGGAACUGGAUAAGGAUACAAUAUGCCCUUCUUCAUCAUACCAAGUUUUUCCCUUCCAGGGAAAUAAACUCCAGUUACCAAAAUGAAUACCUAAUCUUGUCUUGACCAUCCUUCUGCACUAUUUCCAAUUGUAUAACUCUCUAAUGCAAAAUAUUAGUAAUAAAUAACUGAACAUAAUUUAGGAUUUAAAAUUUUUUUUUCAGAGGCAGCAUUGGCCUUCCUAGAUUUUUUGGAUUGCUAGAAGGAGCCACUACCUGCUCCUUUCCUUCAUUUUUGUCUAUUAGAUGUAGUGAAUGUCCCCUACUCAUUCAGAACUCUUGCUCUGCCCACCACCUCUGACAGUGUUUACAGUAACUGUGGUUUUGGCAAAUGCAAUAACUACCCAUUGGACUACUCAAUGCUUGCCUUAAACUAAACCCCAGAAAAGGCUGGACACCGUUAUGGAAAGACUGACAUAUUUCUAUUGCUGCUAACAGGGGAUACCUAACUUUUAAAUAUGUUUAAGAAUUAACCUUAUAUUUCUAAUUAGCACACGUUUGUUAUUGACGGUGGCCAUGUUUUCCGAAGCAAACAUAACAUUUAAUAAGCAAAAGAGUAUUUUUAGGAACAGGCAACUAUAUUAAAUGAGAAUUGUUACAGAAACUACAAGGCUUGGGGUCGUGCAGCUACUAAACGUGUACUACUUAAAUUAUAACAGACCUAUGAUCUCAUUCUACUUUCAGAAUGAAAACGGUAAACAUUUUAACAUGGUAAUUGGGGAUAGCAGGAGCUGAUGGAAAGAAAAUCGGGAUUGUUAGCAUUUCUCUGUCCGUCUAGCACGCCAGACAGGGCCAGUCUCUCCGGUUGGGGGCACUGCGUGGGCAACAGCGACGGCGCCUCCCAGCGGCGCACCGUGAGGGCGCGCGUCUGCGCUGGGGCCUCGCGCGCGUUCCACGACGAAGACUGCGCGUUUGAGUGUCCCUGGCAACGCCACGCUUCCGCCUUCUGGAAGCCUGCACUCCAGCUUCGAGUGUGAGAGACCCGUCCCGGUGGGAGGGACCUGGGCUGGGGGGGACGGUGGGGGAACAAGGGGGUGGGACUGGGGAAGCUUCUGAGAACAUUUGCCCUAGGUAUUCAGCUAAACUAAGAAAAAUUGGUCCAAGGCUCGGCACAAAAGGAUCUUUUCAUUCCAGUCCUUUCGCCCACGCAGGGAACGAUGCCUCUGGAGGUGGUGGUGGAGCUGCAGAUCCGGGCGAUUUCUUGCCCAGGAGUGUUCCUGCCUGGCAAACAAGAUGUGUACCUCGGGGUCUACCUCAUGAAUCAGUACCUGGAGACAAACAGCUUUCCCUCUGCGUUCCCCAUUAUGAUUCAGGAGAGCAUGAGAUUUGAAAAGGUAUUUGAAAGUGCAGUAGAUCCUGGAGCUGUAGUAGACCUUUUGGAAAGCUUCCUAACCAGGUUUGAAUUAAUACAGCUAGUUCCUCCAGUGUGGGAUGAGUUGGCCUACUAUGAAGAAAACACACGAGAUUUUCUUUUCCCAGAGCCCAAGCUGACACCUUCGCACCCUAGGAGGUGUAGGGAGGUGCUCAUGAAGACGGCUCUGGGUUUUCCAGGCAUUGCUCCCAAAAUAGAGUUUUCUACAAGGACAGCCAUCAGAGAAUGUGUGUUUCUGCAUAGAAACAGAUUUCUUGAAGAAAGACAUGAGUCACGAAGGCCUUUAUCUACAUCACAUGAACCAAUAUUUCCCUUAAAUACUAUAAAGAUGAAACUAAAGGAGAAUAAUCUCAACAGACUGCCCAAAGGCAUGCAAGCCCGGGCGCCCUCUCAAUAUUCUACCAGGCAUUUCUUCCAGGACCAGCCAGCUCAGUUGAACCUUGGAAAUAAUUUCAAAAUCUCUGGAGGAAGCAAGCCUCCAUUUGUUGUUAGACACGUGGACAGUGCAAAGCCCUUUGGUGAGAAUAUUUCAGAGCAUCAUUUGAGGAGGUCUAGAAGAAAAUCUAAGUUUUCAGACUUUCCGUUUCCAACGAGAAGAGCUUCUUCUCUUGACAGCCUUGCAGCUAACGUAAAGGUUAUCAAAGAGCCAGAUGAACGGAUUGUUUUAAGGAGUGACUCAUCAUCAUGUUUAGAUUCAAGUCAGUUUGGAAAGUCCUCAUCCAGUAAACAAGGGGAUGCUGAUUUCCACGGGAAAGCUUCAUUUGCCACCUACCAGCAUUCCACCUCUCCUGGCCCCUUGGAUCAGCCCCUUCUCAGAGAAAGGUUCCAUCCUGGUUCUCAGUCCACACGGAAGAAUAUCCAUGAGAGGGUAUGCAGUCUUCUGACAUCCCACAGAGCACAGCUGCACCAAAACAAGGAAGAUUCUACCUCUGAAGUAAAUUAUAUCAUUGAAAGACCAAGCUACCCUCUGAAGAAAUACUCACUGCACGAAGAGAGAUAUUUUUAAGGUACUGUCUUAUGGGAAAUUAAUGAAAGCUUAAGGAGAAUCAUGAAGAGUUCACUCACUGAGACAAUUGAAGCAUCCUUAAAGAAAUGAACACUUUUUGUUGUCUGUGUUGAGUCACUGAUGUCUAAUCCCCUUUAAACCAAACCCUGUACUCAGUCUUUUGUGCCCAGUUCACUAUCAGAACUCGUUUCUCCUGGGAGUUGAAAGCUGUCCUAUAGGAGGUGAUAAAUGAGAAGGAACUAAGCAGGUGUGAUGGCAUCUGCACAGAAAUCAACAGUUUUAAGCUCCAUGAAGGCAGGAGACCUAGCUAUCUGCUUGUUCACGAAUGUAUACUCAGUGCCCAGCACAUAGGAGAUGCUCAGUAAACAUGCUGAUUGAAUGAAUAACAGGUUGACAAGAUCAACAAUUUCCCUGAACGGUGUAGCAGGAAGGACUUCAGCAGAGCCAACAAGGAAUUCCCGAAAGUAAACUAAGUACCUGGACCCCCACAGCCCCAGCAAUGGACACAGGACACCAUUCUUGCGCUUCCUUCCCACCACAGACACAG